rnacentral:rRNA from 1 species
AGUUCGGAUCGCAGGCUGCAACCCGCCUGCGUGAAGUUGGAAUCGCUAGUAAUCGCGGAUCAACAUGCCGCGGUGAAUACGUUCCCGGGCCUUGUACACACCGCCCGUCACACCAUGAGAGUCGGGAACACCCGAAGUCCGUAGCCUAACCGCAAGGGGGGCGCGGCCGAAGGUGGGUUCGAUAAUUGGGGUGAAGUCGUAACAAGGUACC